UACGUAGGGUGCAAGCGUUGUCCGGAAUUAUUGGGCGUAAAGAGCUCGUAGGCGGUCUGUCGCGUCGGAUGUGAAAACUCGGGGCUCAACCCCGGGUCUGCAUUCGAUACGGGCAGACUAGAGUGUGGUAGGGGAGAUCGGAAUUCCUGGUGUAGCGGUGAAAUGCGCAGAUAUCAAGAGGAACACCGGUGGCGAAGGCGGAUCUCUGGGCCAUUACUGACGCUGAGGAGCGAAGCGUGGGGAGCGAACAGG
rnacentral:rRNA from 1 species